rnacentral:rRNA from 1 species
CCUACGGGUGGCAGCAGUAGGGAAUAUUGCUCAAUGGGGGAAACCCUGAAGCAGCAACGCCGCGUGGAGGUCAGUGCCCUAUGGGCGUUAAACUUCUUUUGUGCGGGAGCAAUAAUGGUCACGUGUGGCCAGACGAGAGUACCGUACGAAUAAGCAUCGGCUAACUCCGUGCCAGCAGCCGCGGUAAUACGGGGGAUGCAAGCGUUAUCCGGAUUUAUUGGGUUUAAAGGGUGCGUAGGCUGUGAGGUAAGUCAGCGGUGAAAUGCCCCCGCUCAACGGGGUGAAGUGCCAUUGAUACUGCCUUGCUGGAAUGCGGAUGCCGUGGGAGGAAUGUGUGGUGUAGCGGUGAAAUGCAUAGAUAUCACACAGAACACCGAUUGCGAAGGCAUCUCACGAAUCCGCGAUUGACGCUGAUGCACGAAAGCGUGGGUAUCAAACAGGAUUAGAUACCCGGGUAGUC